UACGAAGGGGGCUAGCGUUGUUCGGAAUUACUGGGCGUAAAGCGCGCGUAGGCGGUGAUCUUUGUCAGAGGUGAAAUCCCGAGGCUCAACUUCGGAAUUGCCUUUGAGACGGGAUCGCUUGAGUCCGAGAGAGGAUGGCGGAAUUCCUAGUGUAGAGGUGAAAUUCGUAGAUAUUAGGAAGAACACCGGUGGCGAAGGCGGCCAUCUGGCUCGGUACUGACGCUCAGGCGCGAAAGCGUGGGGAGCAAACAGG
rnacentral:rRNA from 1 species